UACGUAGGGGGCUAGCGUUAUCCGGAAUUACUGGGCGUAAAGGGUGCGUAGGUGGUUACUUAAGUCAGAGGUGAAAGGCUACGGCUCAACCGUAGUAAGCCCUUGAAACUGGGAAACUUGAGUGCAGGAGAGGAGAGUGGAAUUCCUAGUGUAGCGGUGAAAUGCGUAGAUAUUAGGAGGAACACCAGUUGCGAAGGCGGCCCUCUGGACUGUAACUGACACUGAGGCACGAAAGCGUGGGGAGCAAACAGGAUUAGAUACCCCUGUAGUCCCUGAGCGGGCU
rnacentral:rRNA from 1 species